GCGUCGCCCAGCAAUACGUGGAGGCAUUCGCCAACCUCGCGAAGACCAGCAACACGAUCAUCAUUCCGAGCAACGUCUCGGACGUGGCGGGCGUCGUCGCGAGCGCGAUGACCGUCCUCGAUCGCGUGAAGAAGUAAUGUCAUUCCCGCGUGGGCGGUCAUUCCCGCGAAGGCGGGAAUCCAAUCUCCAUGGCUGACCGGGAGUUCGGCUUCGAAACCCUCUGCCUGCACGCGGGCCAGAUCCCCGACGCGCAGACCGGCUCGCGUGCCGUCCCCCUGUACCAGACAACGUCGUACGUCUUCGACGACGCGAACCACGCGGCGAGCCUCUUCAACCUCCAGACCUUCGGCAACGUCUAUACGCGGCUAUCGAACCCGACGACCGCGGUGUUCGAGGAGCGGGUCGCGGCGAUCGAGGGCGGGCGUGCUGCGGUCGCGACCGCAACCGGCCAGGCCGCGGAGAUGGUGGCGCUCCUGAACAUCCUCGAGCAGGGCGAUCACCUCGUGUCGUCCUCGAAGCUCUACGGCGGCACGCUUACGAUGUUCGGCGUCAACUUCAGGAAGCUCGGCAUCGAGGCGACGAUGGUCGACCCCGAUGAUCCGGAGAAUUUCCGCAGGGCGCUCAAGCCCAACACGAAGGCGAUCUUCUCCGAGACGCUCGGCAAUCCCGCGAUCAACAUGGUGGACAUCGAAGCCGUGGGGAAGAUCGCGCGCGAGGCGGGUAUUCCCUUCAUCGUCGAUAACACGGCCGCCUCGCCCUACCUCUGCCAGCCGUUCCAGCAUGGAGCGGACAUCAUCGUGCACUCGGCGACCAAGUACCUCGGCGGCCACGGCACGACGAUGGGCGGCGUGGUGGUCGAGAGCGGCAAGUUCCCCUGGGAUAACGGCAAGUUCCCGUCGAUGACGGAGCCCUCGGUGGGUUACCACGGCGUGCGCUUCUACGAGACGUUUGGCGAUUUCGGCUUCACGAUGAAGGCGCGCAUGGAGAUCAUGCGCGUCUACGGGCCCACGCUUUCGCCCUUCAACGCCUGGAUGCUGCUGCAGGGCAUCGAGACGCUGCCGGUACGCAUGGACCGGCACUGCGCGAAUGCGAUGGGCGUCGCGCGGUUCCUGCGCGACCAUCCCAAGGUGGUCUGGGUGAACUACCCGGGACUCGAGGACAACAAGUACUACGCGCUCACAAAGCGCUACAUGCCGAAAGGCGCGGGCGCGCUCCUUUCCUUCGGCAUCAAGGGCGGUUACGAGGCGGGCGUGAAGUUCAUCGAGAAGCUGCAGUUCGUGAGCCACCUCGCGAACAUCGGCGACGCGAAGUCGCUCGUGAUCCACCCCGCCUCGACCACGCACCGGCAGCUGUCGGAAGAAGACCAGGUGAAGGCGGGCGUCCCGCCGGACAUGGUGCGGCUUUCGAUCGGUCUCGAGACGCUGGACGACAUCCUCUGGGACGUGGACCAGGCCCUGCGU
rnacentral:misc_RNA from 1 species